UACGUAGGGCGCAAGCGUUGUCCGGAAUUAUUGGGCGUAAAGAGCUCGUAGGCGGCUUGUCACGUCGGGUGUGAAAGCCCGGGGCUUAACCCCGGGUCUGCAUUCGAUACGGGCUAGCUAGAGUGUGGUAGGGGAGAUCGGAAUUUCUGGUGUAGCGGUGAAAUGCGUAGAUAUCAGAAGGAACACCCAUGGCGAAGGCAGCUCGCUGGCCUACAACUGACGCUGAGGCGCGAAAGCGUGGGGAGCAAACAGG
rnacentral:rRNA from 1 species